rnacentral:rRNA from 1 species
UGCAGUCGACGGANGGCCUCUUCGGAGGUACUCGAGUGGCGAACGGGUGAGUAACACGUGGGUAAUCUGCCCUGCACUUCGGGAUAAGCCUGGGAAACUGGGUCUAAUACCGGAUAGGACCUUUUGGCGCAUGCCUUUUGGUGGAAAGCUUUUGCGGUGUGGGAUGGGCCCGCGGCCUAUCAGCUUGUUGGUGGGGUGACGGCCUACCAAGGCGACGACGGGUAGCCGGCCUGAGAGGGUGUCCGGCCACACUGGGACUGAGAUACGGCCCAGACUCCUACGGGAGGCAGCAGUGGGGAAUAUUGCACAAUGGGCGCAAGCCUGAUGCAGCGACGCCGCGUGGGGGAUGACGGCCUUUCGGGUUGUAAACCUCUUUCAGCAGGGACGAAGCGCAAGUGACGGUACCUGCAGAAGAAGCACCGGCCAACUACGUGCCAGCAGCCGCGGUAAUACGUAGGGUGCGAGCGUUGUCCGGAAUUACUGGGCGUAAAGAGCUCGUAGGUGGUUUGUCGCGUUGUUCGUGAAAACCGGGGGCUUAACCCUCGGCGUGCGGGCGAUACGGGCAGACUGGAGUACUGCAGGGGAGACUGGAAUUCCUGGUGUAGCGGUGGAAUGCGCAGAUAUCAGGAGGAACACCGGUGGCGAAGGCGGGUCUCUGGGCAGUAACUGACGCUGAGGAGCGAAAGCGUGGGGAGCGAACAGGAUUAGAUACCCUGGUAGUCCACGCCGUAAACGGUGGGUACUAGGUGUGGGUUUCCUUCCUUGGAAUCCGUGCCGUAGCUAACGCAUUAAGUACCCCGCCUGGGGAGUACGGCCGCAAGGCUAAAACUCAAAGGAAUUGACGGGGGCCCGCACAAGCGGCGGAGCAUGUGGAUUAAUUCGAUGCAACGCGAAGAACCUUACCUGGGUUUGACAUGCACAGGACGCCGGCAGAGAUGUCGGUUCCCUUGUGGCCUGUGUGCAGGUGGUGCAUGGCUGUCGUCAGCUCGUGUCGUGAGAUGUUGGGUUAAGUCCCGCAACGAGCGCAACCCUUGUCUCAUGUUGCCAGCGGGUAAUGCCGGGGACUCGUGAGAGACUGCCGGGGUCAACUCGGAGGAAGGUGGGGAUGACGUCAAGUCAUCAUGCCCCUUAUGUCCAGGGCUUCACACAUGCUACAAUGGCCGGUACAAAGGGCUGCGAUGCCKUAAGRUYAAGCGAAUCYUUUUWAAGCCGGUCUCARUUCGGAUCGGGGUYUGCAACUCGACCCCGUGAAGUCGGAGUCGCUAGUAAUCGCAGAUCAGCAACGCUGCGGUGAAUACGUUCCCGGGCCUUGUACACACCGCCCGUCACRUCAKGAAAGUCGSUAACACCCGAAGCCANGGGCCU